UACGUAGGGGGCAAGCGUUGUCCGGAUUUAUUGGGCGUAAAGAGCGUGUAGGCGGUUUGGUAGGUCCGCUGUGAAAACUCGAGGCUCAACCUCGAGACGCCGGUGGAAACCAUCAGGCUAGAGUCCGGAAGAGGAGAGUGGAAUUCCUGGUGUAGCGGUGAAAUGCGCAGAUAUCAGGAAGGACACCCGUGGCGAAGGCGGCUCUCUGGGACGGUACUGACGCUGAGACGCGAAAGCGUGGGGAGCGAACAGG
rnacentral:rRNA from 1 species